AUUUUGAUGCAGAACGACUGGAAAUCGAUCCACAAAUCGUUUGAGGUAUUCCGCUUAAGGAUCGGAUGAGAAAUGGCCGAGAUAUAGCUAUGGACGUGGGCCAGAGGUUUUUUGAAGGGUAUCCCCAGAAAGGAUUCAAAGGCAGAAGCUACGUUGAUUAAACAGGUGAGUAACGAAGGCCCAGAGUUGGUUUAAAAAAUAAAUAAAAGGAAGAAGGGAAGGAAUGUCCCAUUUUAAUUAUUUUACGCCAAAAAAAAAAGGAAAAUAAAAUAAAUUAAAUAAAUAGCAAGAUAAUAAACUCAAAAUCAUGUUUAAUAGGCGUAUGAUGCCUAAACAGGUGGGUAACGAAGGUCCAUCGGUGGUUAAAAAAUAAAUUAUAAUAAUAAUAAAGAAACUAAGGAACCCAAAGCCGAAGAAGGUCCCAUCUUCAUUUUUUUUUUAUCAAUAUAAUAUUAAAAAAAAUAAAAAAAAAAUAAGGAAAUAAGAAAAUGAGUUUUGAAGUCGUGGGGCAUACGCUAUUUAAACAGGUGAGUAACGAAAGCCCACAGAAUGUUUAAAAUUAAAUAGAAAAAUAAAAAAUAUAAGAAAAUGAGCAUGGAAGCCAUUGCCAGAGCAUGGGCAAUAGUCUUUGCAAAAAAAUAAAAAAAAUAAUAAGAAACGAGGCCAUAAAACGAUUGUGUUUUAGGAACCCAAGGAACUUUAUUUUAAAAUUAAUUAAAAAGAAAUAAAUAAGCAAAUAAGAUUAUUAAAAGAUUUAAAUGUUUAAUAAAAUAAAAAAUAAAAUAAAAACGCCUUUAAAGAGUAGAGGUGUGGAGGCUAUGCCUUCCGAACAGCUACUGACUGGAAUAGAAAUCCCCAUCCAGCUGGUCCAAAGACUACAAAAAGUCAAGGCCAAUGUGAUGGCAUUUAAAAAAUCCCUAAAAAAUGAAAUCCUUUAGGAAAUGGCCAAAAUUUAGUAGGCUUGGACCUAGGAGUGUUCCCCUACCUGUCGAAAUCACUAGAAAAAAAAAUAACCUCAAGUAGCCUUUGACUUUUGGGCCAAAAAAAUAUUUGUAGACAGUUCCGUGAUUCCAAUCCCCGUAGAGUAUAACUAGUGCCAGGUUGUGUGGUUUGGAACUACUGGAACUUUGGCGAGAAAUGAAGUACCUAACUGUGCAAAUUCGUGGCGAAAAUAAUGCCGUGGUUCGGUUCGAGAUCGGGGCGAGUACUCCGAUCCGGAAAGUGACGGAGCUGUAUUGCAACCGACUGGGUCUGGCCAGGUACGAGGCCACCUUCGACUAUAAUGGCCAGGCCAUCAAGAUAGAUGAUACCCCGAAGUCCCUGGACAUGCAGGACAUGGACUUUAUUGAUGUCUAUACCAGGCAGCUGGCCGGGGAUAUCUGGAGCAAGGAUAAUGCUGAUUUUGUCUAGUUUUGAGGACUACCAUGAGUUGCAAGAAUAAUGCCACAUGAUGUUGCACUUUUGGAAAGAUCUGACGAACUAGAGGAAUACUACAUAUUUUUUAAAAUAAUGAAAGACUUUCCAUUUAUGCCGGUAUGGGGCCUUACAUUUCUCCAAGUCCUCUUCGAUUUUAUUUUUUAUUUACAAUAACAAUGCUUUCAUUUGUUAAUAAACAUUUAAAGUUACAUAUAAAGAAUGUUUUUUUAAAUCGUUUUUUAAUUUUUAAAUAAUUUUUUUAUUGGUUUUUUUAGUGUUGUGCCCGAUUUGUCUUACAAAUGUACAUCCUCCUUUUAAGGAUCAGAGCCGAUUUCUUAUGGGAAUCAAGGAUAUCUCAAGGACAGGAGGGUCAAUAGUUGUUCGAUUUUUCGUCUUUUCUUCUUUGAUUGUUUUUUUUAAGGCUUACUUUAGUAAUGAAUAAUAAUGCAGUUUAACAAUAACAAAUAAUUCAAUGAUUGAUGUUUUCUUCCUUCUAUUUCUACACACUUUUUUUUUUUCACUUUGUUCAUUUCAACUUAAUAUUAACAAAAUUACAACUACUAGCUGUGACAAAAAUAAUAGAUCUCUUAACUAUCUUGUGUAUUAAAA